UACGUAGGGGCCUAGCGUUGUCCGGAUUUAUUGGGCGUAAAGAGCUCGUAGGCGGUUCGGUAAGUCAGGUGUGAAAUCUCCACGCUCAACGUGGAGGCGCCACCUGAAACUGCCGUGACUAGAGUCCGGUAGGGGAGUGUGGAAUUCCCGGUGUAGCGGUGAAAUGCGUAGAGAUCAGGAAGAACACCGGUGGCGAAAGCGCUCUGCUAGGCCGCAACUGACACUCAUGGACGAAAGCGUGGGGAGCAAACAGG
rnacentral:rRNA from 1 species